rfam:Stegodyphus mimosarum contig77461, whole genome shotgun sequence.
GCCUUCGUGGUGUAGUGGUCAGCACGCUCGAGGUGUAUGCGAGAGGUCCGGGGUUCGAGUCCCAGUGAGGGCA